GACAGAGGUGGCAAGCGUUGUUCGGAAUUACUGGGCUUAAAGGGCGCGUAGGUGGUGAUAUAAGUCCGGGGUGGAAGACUGGGGCUUAACCUCAGAAUUGCCUUGGAUACUGUAUGACUUGAGUCAGCGAGGGGAUGGCGGAAUUCCAGGUGUAGCGGUGAAAUGCGUAGAUAUCUGGAGGAAGGCCGGUGGCGAAGGCGGCCAUCUGGCGCUGAACUGACACUGAGGCGCGAAAGCGUGGGGAGCAAACAGG
rnacentral:rRNA from 1 species